rfam:Myotis brandtii contig227962, whole genome shotgun sequence.
AGAGGCCCUCUGUGGCCGGGGUGGAACACUUGCCUCAUCACUGCGGUGACGAAGCAAGCAUUCUGCCAGGCCGCUAAUGCUGCCCGA